rnacentral:misc_RNA from 1 species
AAAGUCGUAACAAGGUUUCCGUAGGUGAACCUGCGGAAGGAUCAUUAAUUAUGCUAACGCAUAUUCCGGCUCCGGCGAGGCUUCACGGCCCCGCCACGAGUUACCACCCUUUGUGAACCUUUAUAUUUUUGCUUCGGCAGCUCGCUUCCCCUUCUGGUGUCGCGGUAAGGCUGCCGACAGCCCACACCAUAAACUAUUUUGUCACCAAAACCAUGCAGUCUGAUAAUCUGAUAAAUUUAAAAAGUUAAAACUUUCAGCAACGGAUCUCUUGGUUCUC